GGUGAAACAAACUGUAGAAAAUGUUGAUGAAGCAGUGAGGGAUCUUCCAGGCGCCAAUACGAAUCCAGAAGAUUUAUGUAUUAAUCAUUCCCAGGUGGUUAUGAAAAAAUUUUAAGAGAAGAAUUAGGAAGAACAGAUAUUGUAGCAUCAUUCUCCAUUUUAUCUUAUACUUGUAUCUGACAUUUUACUCUAUAUUGUUCCAUUCUGAUCCCUUACACAUUCAGUAUAUAUGUGAUUUUAUAUCUCAUUACUCUUGUAAUUUGUAGGUUCUUGAUAGUGUGAGAAGGGAUAGGUCUAAAACAUUGUAGGCUUGUAAACCAUUGGGAUUAGGUCAGGCGACACUGGCAGGUUUGUCUAAUUAAUCUGCCAUUAUACACUCAAUUUUGUAGGAUAAUUAAUGUAUAUUCUGUCAUACAUGUUUUCAUGUCAGCUAAUUUUUUGGUAGUGUGCAUUUGGUGGAACUAUGUGGGACUGACUUGUUCUUUGUGAUGAAAGUUAUGGAUAAAGGUGUUAUGCUUAACCCAAACAAGGCAUUUGAAAUUGCAUUGAUUAUGAAUAUUAAGCUUCAAACCCAGAUGGUCAUUUGUUUGCUAUCUAAUGGUAAGUCUGGUAAUGCAUAUAACUAUGGUACUAGGACCAGCAGAUGAGCUCCCCUUUGGUUUAAAUCUUCAAUGUUUUAGCUUGUUAGUUCAGUAAUAGUGAACAUGUAGCGGGCUUUGAUUAAGUUUACUAGAAAGUUUAAGAUAAGUAGGAUUUUAGUAGUCAUUUAGUAUUGAUAAUACGAUUGAAUUGUCCUUUAAUUCAUUUAUAUUUGAUUUAAGUUCAUAUUUUGUUAUUUUAAUGCUUAUGCUAAAUAAUUCCUUUUUUUUUUUUUUCUGGCACUGGCAAUGACUUUUAAUUAUUGGCAUGGAAAGAGUUUCUCUAUGAACGAAAUGAUUAUCAAAAAAGCUGUGGAAACUAGAGUCAAAGAGUUGUCUGGAUUCCUUUGGGUCAACAUGUCGAGCAGCAAGAGAUACUAGAAUGAUCUUCUUUCCUGGGUUGAGGCAGAGUUGUCGCAACAUUUUUCGGUAAAAAUCGAAACCUCUCCAACAGUAACUGCUAAAAAACCCUUUGCUGCCUUUGAUAGAGCUGUUGAAGACUCAUGGGAAGCUUGUUUGUCGGUACUCCUAAGAAACCAAUUGAGUUACGAGCCUUUUCAAAGCAGAUGUUAAAUACGGAUUUGUCAAAUACUGACUUUUCAUUGACACAACAAUUUUAAGUUUAUAUCGACUACGUCACUUGUUAUAUUAAACUUU